UACAGCACGGCCUGCUGCAGACGAGCCGGAGCCGGUCGGUGGUGCCGUUCGGCGGGUGUCUGCCGUCGCGCACCGCGCCGCCGCGCCUGCUCCACGCCUGGGACCUGGUGCUCGUCUACUACCGGCUGAAGCGCGGCGUGCAGUACAACGCUACGCCGCAGCGCCGCCUCUCGCAGAGCUUCGGCCUCUCCGUGGUCGGAGGCACAGCCAUCACCAGCAAACACACGCUGCUGAGCGCCGUCGGCAACAUUAUCGCCAGCCACACGCCGCUGAAGCGGACGGCCGACGCUCACUUCAAGGCGUUCGUGUGCGCCGG